rnacentral:rRNA from 1 species
GAUGAACGCUGGCGGCGUGCUUAACACAUGCAAGUCGAACGGAAAGGCCCAAGCUUGCUUGGGUACUCGAGUGGCGAACGGGUGAGUAACACGUGGGUGAUCUGCCCUGCACUUCGGGAUAAGCCUGGGAAACUGGGUCUAAUACUGGAUAGGACCACUUCUUGGAUGUUGUGGUUGAAAGUUUUUUCGGUGUGGGAUGAGCUCGCGGCCUAUCAGCUUGUUGGUGGGGUAAUGGCCUACCAAGGCGUCGACGGGUAGCCGGCCUGAGAGGGUGUACGGCCACAUUGGGACUGAGAUACGGCCCAGACUCCUACGGGAGGCAGCAGUGGGGAAUAUUGCACAAUGGGCGCAAGCCUGAUGCAGCGACGCCGCGUGGGGGAUGACGGCCUUCGGGUUGUAAACUCCUUUCGCUAGGGACGAAGCGUUUUGUGACGGUACCUGGAGAAGAAGCACCGGCUAACUACGUG